rnacentral:rRNA from 1 species
GACGAACGCUGGCGGCGUGCUUAACACAUGCAAGUCGAGCGGUAAGGCCCCUUCGGGGGUACACGAGCGGCGAACGGGUGAGUAACACGUGAGCAAUCUGCCCAUCACAUCGGGAUAACUCCGGGAAACCGAAGCUAAUACCGAAUACGACCACCUCCGGCAUCGGAUGGUGGUGGAAAGUUCCGGCGGUGAUGGAUGAGCUCGCGGCCUAUCAGCUUGUUGGUGGGGUAACGGCCCACCAAGGCUUCGACGGGUAGCCGGCCUGAGAGGGUGACCGGCCACACUGGGACUGAGACACGGCCCAGACUCCUACGGGAGGCAGCAGUGGGGAAUAUUGGACAAUGGGCGGAAGCCUGAUCCAGCAACGCCGCGUGAGGGAUGACGGCCUUCGGGUUGUAAACCUCUUUCAGCAGGGACGAAGCGCAAGUGACGGUACCUACAGAAGAAGCACCGGCCAACUACGUG